AACGAACGCUGGCGGCAUGCUUAACACAUGCAAGUCGAACGAGACCGUCGGGCUUAGUGGCGCACCGGUGCGUACCGAGUGGGAAGCUGCCCUUAGGUACGCAAUAACUCACCGUAAGGUGUGUUCAUACAAGUUAGUCUCAUAGGACCAAGGAUUUAUGGCCUUUGGGUGGGGCCGCGUUGGUUUAGCUAGUUGGUAGGGUAAAAGCAUACCAAGGCGACGAUGCAUAGCUGGUCGGAGAGGAUGAUCAGCCACACUGGGACUGCGACACGGCCCAGACUCCUACGGGAGGGAGCAGUAGAGAAUACUGUACAAGGAGCGAAAGUCUGACCCAGCAGUGCCGCGUGAGUGAUGAAUGCCUUAGGAUUGUAAAUCUCUUUUUCCCGGGAUGAUAAUGACAGUACCGGGAGAAUAAGCUCCGGCUAACUCCGUG
rnacentral:rRNA from 1 species